UGGGGAAUAUUGGACAAUGGGCGCAAGCCUGAUCCAGCCAUGCCGCGUGAGUGAUGAAGGCCUUAGGGUUGUAAAGCUCUUUUGUCCGGGACGAUAAUGACGGUACCGGAAGAAUAAGCCCCGGCUAACUUCGUG
rnacentral:rRNA from 2 species